rnacentral:tRNA from 1 species
GCGGGUGUAGCUCAAUGGUAGAGCUCCAGCCUUCCAAGCUGGUGGUGGCAGUUCAAUUCUGCUCACCCGCU